CGCAUUGUGUUACAAAAUUGAAGAAAAUUUUUCAGUUAGUGAAUUAAAAAAAAAUUUUUUUAUUCAAAAUAAUUAAAUUAAAAAUUUUUAAAUUUAAAUUCAAAAUUAAUAAGUUAAAACAAGUUCAAAAUUAAUAAUUUAAAAAAGGAAUUUAGUGAAUUUUGUGCUUUUUUAAAAAAAAAAACAAAAUAAUUCAGGAACAUUGGAAAAAGGAGUACAUCUAUAAAAAUGAGUAAACAAUUGACGACCAAAGGCUGUAGUAUAAUUAAAUAUGAGGGGUAUGAAUACAUACUUAAAAGUUACAAAUGCAGGGUUAGCUUUAAAGAAAAAUACCCUGCAUUUAUAUAUGUGUUUGGGAACGGGGACAUUAAAAAAAGGGAAUCCAAAGUAGUACACACCCACGAGAGGCCGGACAAAUAAAACGGGGUGGUCGAAGCAGCUAUAACAAAAAUGAAAGAAGCUAUUUUACUUUCGACGACCACAUCAAGAUCUGUAAUUAUGGAUGUAACAUUUAAAAUGUCGGAAGAAUCUAAGUCCCUUCUGCCAUCUGAAAAAAGUUUGAAAGCGACUCUAAGGCGUCAUUACAAUAAAUAUUAUAAGAAAAAUCCUUCCGACAUACCUGAAGAUCUCAUGCAACAUACAUAUGUACAUAUAUAAUAUUUUGUAUUAAAGA